rnacentral:rRNA from 1 species
UACGUAGGGCGCAAGCGUUAAUCGGAAUUACUGGGCGUAAAGCGUGCGCAGGCGGUGAUGUAAGACAGAUGUGAAAUCCCCGGGCUCAACCUGGGAACUGCAUUUGUGACUGCAUCGCUGGAGUGCGGCAGAGGGGGAUGGAAUUCCGCGUGUAGCAGUGAAAUGCGUAGAUAUGCGGAGGAACACCGAUGGCGAAGGCAAUCCCCUGGGCCUGCACUGACGCUCAUGCACGAAAGCGUGGGGAGCAAACAGG